rnacentral:tRNA from 1 species
AAGUAAGUAGCGUAUAUAGCGUGUGCGAUUUCGGCUCGCGCGGAGGGAGUCCCCCUUACUUU